UUGACCUCAAAUCAGGUAGGACCACCCGCUGAACUUAAGCAUAUCAAUAAGCGGAGGAAAAGAAACUAACAAGGAUUCCCUUAGUAACUGCGAGUGAAGAGGGAAAAGCUCAAAUUUGUAAUCUGGCGGUCUUUGGCUGUCUGAGUUGUAAUCUAGAGAAGUGCUACCUGCGCUGGACCAUGUACAAGUCUCCUGGAAUGGAGCAUCAUAGAGGGUGAGAAUCCCGUCUUUGACAUGGACUGCCAGAGCUUAUAGGUGCGCUCUCGAAGAGUCGAGUUGUUUGGGAAUGCAGCUCAAAAUGGGUGGUAAAUGCCAUCUAAAGCUAAAUAUUGGCGAGAGACCGAUAGCGAACAAGUACCGUGAGGGAAAGAUGAAAAGAACUUUGGAAAGAGAGUUAAACAGUACGUGAAAUUGCUGAAAGGGAAACGCUUGAAGUCAGUCGCAUCAGUUGGAAAUCAACCUUGCUUUUGCUGGGUGUACUUUCCGUCCGAUGGGUCAGCAUCAAUUUUGAUUGCUGGAUAAAGUUCUUGGGAACGUGGCAUCUUUGGAUGUGUUAUAGCCCUUGGACAUAUACAGUGGUUGGGAUUGAGGAACUCAGCACGCCGCAAGGCUGGGGCUUUGUCCACAACACG
rnacentral:rRNA from 1 species